GACGAACGCUGGCGGCGUGCUUAACACAUGCAAGUCGAACGAUGAUGCUCCAGCUUGCUGGGGUGGAUUAGUGGCGAACGGGUGAGUAACACGUGAGUAACCUGCCUUUCACUUUGGGAUAAGCCUUGGAAACGGGGUCUAAUACCGGGUAUGACACAUUGUCGCAUGGUGGUGUGUGGAAAGCUUUUGUGGUGGAGGAUGGACUCGCGGCCUAUCAGCUUGAUGGUGGGGUAGUGGCCUACCAUGGCUUUGACGGGUAGCCGGCCUGAGAGGGUGACCGGCCACACUGGGACUGAGACACGGCCCAGACUCCUACGGGAGGCAGCAGUGGGGAAUAUUGCACAAUGGGCGAAAGCCUGAUGCAGCAACGCCGCGUGCGGGAUGAAGGCCUUCGGGUUGUAAACCGCUUUCAGCAGGGAUGAAAACGACAGUACCUGCAGAAGAAGCCCCGGCUAACUACGUGCCAGCCGCCGCAGUAAUAC
rnacentral:rRNA from 1 species